rnacentral:misc_RNA from 1 species
UAUAUUAUAUAUAAUUUCAAUUUCUAUCUCUUCAUUGAUGAUGAUGAAUGGUGAUAAUUCUGAUGAUAAUGAUUAUGAUGAUAACGUAACAUUAAUAAUAACAAUGAUUGGAAAAUACGAUUAUUAGGAAGUUUUGUUUUCAAAUUGAAAAUGUGCACAUAUACAGUCUUUUACUGUCUUUGGAUGAGGAAUUGAAACCUAAAACGUUGAUAUUGUUGUAUAUGAAUACAUAAGAUUGGUAAUAACAGUAUGUGAAUAUUGUGAAUGGGGAGAGUGUAACGAAGGCAAGAUAUUAUUAUUUUUUUUUCCCGAAAGUUAAAGAUUUCAUUAAUAAAACCCAUAUAACCCAUUGUUUCUUCUAGAUAAGAGUUACAUAAAUUUGGUUGACUGUUCUUAGUAUCACUUGUACAGUUUCAGUAAUUUGGGUGGGGAAGAUGGGGCACCUGCAAGCCGGGAGUCAGCGGAAAUCAAGGAGCCCGGCUGGAUACCCUAGACCUACAAAUGUGUUUCCAUAAUGCAACCUGCUCUUCUUGCGCUCCUUCACUUCUCUCUCUCGGCUUCGCUGGCGUAUCUCCACC